GACGAACGCUGGCGGCGUGCUUAACACAUGCAAGUCGAACGGAAAGGCCCUGCUUUUGUGGGGUGCUCGAGUGGCGAACGGGUGAGUAACACGUGAGUAACCUGCCCUUGACUUUGGGAUAACUUCAGGAAACUGGGGCUAAUACCGGAUAGGAGCUCCUGCUGCAUGGUGGGGGUUGGAAAGUUUCGGCGGUUGGGGAUGGACUCGCGGCUUAUUAGCUUGUUGGUGGGGUAGUGGCUUACCAAGGCUUUGACGGGUAGCCGGCCUGAGAGGGUGACCGGCGACAAUGGGACUGAGAGACGGCCCAGACUCCUACGGGAGGCAGCAGUGGGGAAUAUGGCACAAUGGGCGGAAGCCUGAUGCAGCAACGCCGCGUGCGGGAUGACGGCCUUCGGGGUGUAAACCGCUUUCGCCUGUGACGAAGCGUGAGUGACGGUAAUGGGUAAAGAAGCACCGGCUAACUACGUG
rnacentral:rRNA from 1 species